rnacentral:rRNA from 1 species
AAGGCGAGGCCGAAAGGCGUAGUCGAUGGGAACCAGGUUAAUAUUCCUGGGCCAGAUGGAAGUGACGGAUCUCGAGGGUAGUUCAUCCUUAUCGGAUUGAAUGGGCUGCUUAGAGGUCCCUGGAAAUAGCUCCAUCGCUAGAUCGUACCCUAAACCGACACAGGUGGAUAGGUAGAGAAUACCAAGGCGCUUGAGAGAACCACAUUUAAGGAACUCGGCAAAAUACCUCCGUAAGUUCGCGAGAAGGAGGCCCGUUCAGAACGCAAGUUUUGGGCGGGGGCACAAACCAGGGGGUGGCGACUGUUUACUAAAAACACAGGGCUCUGCGAAGUCGUAAGACGACGUAUAGGGUCUGACGCCUGCCCGGUGCCUGAAGGUUAAAAGGAGGGGUGAGAGCUCUGAAUUGAAGCCCAGGUAAACGGCGGCCGUAACUAUAACGGUCCUAAGGUAGCGAAAUUCCUUGUCGGGUAAGUUCCGACCUGCACGAAUGGCGUAACGACUUCCCCGCUGUCUCAAAUGUGGACUCAGCGAAAUUGAAUUACCGGUCAAGAUGCCGGUUACCCGCGGUUAGACGGAAAGACCCCAUGCACCUUUACUAUAGCUUCGCAUUGGCAUCAGACACAGUAUGUGCAGGAUAGGUGGUAGGCUUUGAAGCGGGAACGCCAGUUCUCGUGGAGCCUCCCUUGAGAUACCACCCUUAUUCUGUUUGAUGUCUAACCGCGGUCCGUUAUCCGGAUCCGGGACCCUGCGUGGUGGGUAGUUUGACUGGGGCGGUCGCCUCCCAAAUUGUAACGGAGGCGCGCGAAGGUUGGCUCAGAGCGGUCGGAAAUCGCUCGUUGAGUGCAAUGGCAGAAGCCAGCCUGACUGCGAGACUGACAAGUCGAGCAGAGUCGAAAGACGGCCAUAGUGAUCCGGUGGUCCCGAGUGGAAGGGCCAUCGCUCAACGGAUAAAAGGUACGCUGGGGAUAACAGGCUGAUGGUGCCCAAGAGUCCAUAUCGACGGCACCGUUUGGCACCUCGAUGUCGCCCUAUAGUGAGUCGUAUAGAUCGGAAGAGCACAC